rnacentral:rRNA from 1 species
UACAGGGGGCGCGAGCGUUGCUCGGAAUCACUGGGCAUAAAGAGCGCGUAGGCGGUCUGAUAAGUCCUGUGUGAAAGCCCCCGGCUCAACCGGGGAAUUGCACAGGAUACUGUCGGGCUAGAGUACAGGAGGGGAGAGCGGAAUUCCUGGUGGAGCGGUGAAAUGCGUAGAUAUCAGGAGGAACGCCAGUGGCGAAAGCGGCUCUCUGGUCUGUUACUGACGCUGAGGUGCGAAAGCUAGGGGAGCAAACGGG